rnacentral:rRNA from 1 species
GGGAUCGGGAUGGACUAAGCCAUGCGAGUCAUUGUAGCAAUACAAGGCAGACGGCUCAGUAACGCGUAGUCAAUCUACCCUAUGGACGGGAAUAACCUCGGGAAACUGAGAAUAAUGCCCGAUAGAACAUUAUACCUGGAACGGUUUAUGUUUCAAAUGAUUUAUCGCCGUAGGAUGGGACUGCGGCCUAUCAGUUUGUUGGUGAGGUAAUGGCCCACCAAGACUAUUACAGGUACGGGCUCUGAGAGGAGUAGCCCGGAGAUGGGUACUGAGACACGGACCCAGGCCCUAUGGGGCGCAGCAGGCGAGAAAACUUUGCAAUGUGCGAAAGCACGACAAGGUUAAUCCGAGUGGUUUCUGCUAAAGAAACCUUUUGCUAGUCCUAGAAACACUAGUGAAUAAGGGGUGGGCAAGUUCUGGUGUCAGCCGCCGCGGUAAAACCAGCACCUCAAGUGGUCAGGAUGAUUAUUGGGCCUAAAGCAUCCGUAGCUCGUUUUGUAAGUUUUCGGUUAAAUCCAUACGCUCAACGUAUGGGCUGCCGGGAAUACUGCAUAACUAGGAAGUGGGAGAGGUAGACGGUACUCGGUAGGAAGGGGUAAAAUCCUUUGAUCUAUUGAUGACCACCUGUGGCGAAGGCGGUCUACCAGAACACGUUCGACGGUGAGGGAUGAAAGCUGGGGGAGCAAACCGGAUUAGAUACCCGGGUAGUCCCAGCUGUAAACUAUGCAAACUCAGUGAUGCAUUGGCUUGUGGCCAAUGCAGUGCUGCAGGGAAGCCGUUAAGUUUGCCGCCUGGGAAGUACGUACGCAAGUAUGAAACUUAAAGGAAUUGGCGGGGGAGCACCACAAGGGGUGAAGCCUGCGGUUCAAUUGGAGUCAACGCCGGG